rnacentral:rRNA from 1 species
GUGAUCGUACCAGCACUAAUGCACCGAAUCCCAUCAGAACUCCGAAGUUAAGCCUGUUUGAGCGAGAGUAGUAUUAGGAUAGAUGACCCAUUGGACAGUCCUCGUGUUACACCUC